UACCGCAUAAUUGGUCCUCCUGACGGUGCUUUCGGCUACCCUCAACCUGAUGGAACCAUCACAGGGAUGAUAGGAAUGGCUGCACGCAGGGAAAUUCACUUGGCAGUGACUGGCAUUGGUGCUAAUGACAAGAGGGACACUGUAGUUGACUUUACUGUGCCAUAUACGCAGGGGUCGCUGGGAAUAUACUCAAGAGCUCCAAAGCUAAAGAGCAGUACAAUGGCAGUUUUAUCACCAUUUACUCCUGAGGUGUGGCUUUGUCUCAUUUUUGCAUUGCUUGCAAUGGGACCACUCUUAUGGGCCCAGUCUCUUUUUCUGGGAAAACUCCAUGAAGAUUCCAAGUUAACGUUGCAGACUUUCUCUUUUAAUGUGUUUCGGAGUCUCAUAAACCAAGGCAAUUCCCUCACUUCAUAUUGGUGGCCUCAGAGAUUUAUGUUCUUCUCUUGGUAUCUCUUUUCUUUGAUUA